AUUGAACGCUGGCGGCAGGCCUAACACAUGCAAGUCGAACGAGUGGCGGACGGGUGAGUAAUGUCUGGGAAACUGCCUGAUGGAGGGGGAUAACUACUGGAAACGGUAGCUAAUACCGCAUACCAUCAGAUGUGCCCAGAUGGGAUUAGCUAGUUGGGGGGGUAACGGCACACCAAGGCGACGAACCCUAGCUGGUAUGAGAGGAUGACCAUGCAGACGGGACAUGGGACACGGUCCAGACUCCUACGGUAGGCAGCAGUGGGGAAUAUUGCACAAUGGGCGAAAGCCUGUUCCAGCCAUGCCGCGUGUGUGAAGAAGGUAUUCGGAUUGUAAAGCGCUUUAAGUUGGGAGGCGUUACCAACAGAAUAAACACCGGCUAACUUCGUGCCAGCAGCCGCGGUAAUAC
rnacentral:rRNA from 1 species